GAUGAACGCUGGCGGCGUGCCUAAUACAUGCAAGUCGAGCGAACGGACGAGAAGCUUGCUUCUCUGAUGUUAGCGGCGGACGGGUGAGUAACACGUGGAUAACCUACCUAUAAGACUGGGAUAACUUCGGGAAACCGGAGCUAAUACCGGAUGAUAUUUUGAACCGCAUGGUUCAAAAGUGAAAGACGGUCUUGCUGUCACUUAUAGAUGGAUCCGCGCUGCAUUAGCUAGUUGGUAAGGUAACGGCUUACCAAGGCAACGAUGCAUAGCCGACCUGAGAGGGUGAUCGGCCACACUGGAACUGAGACACGGUCCAGACUCCUACGGGAGGCAGCAGUAGGGAAUCUUCGGCAAUGGGCGAAAGCCUGACGGAGCAACGCCGCGUGAGUGAUGAAGGUCUUCGGAUCGUAAAACCCUGUUAUUAGGGAAGAACAUAUGUGUAAUUAACUGUGCACAUCUUGACGGUACCUAAUCAGAAAGCCACGGCUAACUACGUG
rnacentral:rRNA from 1 species